rnacentral:rRNA from 1 species
GUGGGGAAUAUUGCACAAUGGGGGAAACCCUGAUGCAGCAACGCCGCGUGAAGGAUGAAGGUUUUCGGAUUGUAAACUUCUUUAGUCGGGGACGAAUAAAUGACGGUACCCGAAGAAUAAGCCACGGCUAACUACGUGCCAGCAGCCGCGGUAAUACGUAGGUGGCGAGCGUUGUCCGGAUUUACUGGGUGUAAAGGGCGUGUAGGCGGGACUGCAAGUCAGAUGUGAAAUUCCAGGGCUUAACCCUGGCGCUGCAUCUGAAACUGUGGUUCUUGAGUGCUGGAGAGGAAAGCGGAAUUCCUAGUGUAGCGGUGAAAUGCGUAGAUAUUAGGAGGAACACCAGUGGCGAAGGCGGCUUUCUGGACAGUAACUGACGCUGAGGCGCGAAAGCGUGGGGAGCGAACAGG